GGUGACCGCUCGCGCUGUGCUAUACCCUAGCCUGGGAGCAGCGUUACCAGUUGAGAGAGUUAUGUUCGUAUUUCCAACUAUAAUAUAUACUUGUUUAUUUUUCCUUUUACUUCUGACAGUUUUUAUUGAACAUAUUUUAAUGUUUAUGCAAAUUCUAGAUUAUUAUAUCUUCCUUCUGGAUUUGCUCUUUUUACCAUUAUGAAUAGACCAUUUCCAAAAUGACCCUUCUAAAUCCCAGGCUUGAUGUACAGCACUGCACCUGCAAGCUGACAAGCAUCUUACAUCCAUCAUAGGAGAGAACGGAACCAUUCCCAAUCACAACAGUAACCCCCUGGAAGCUGACAUCCAUCGUAGAUGGGAACAGGACAGUUCCCAUGAGAAGGCAAUUGUAACAGCAGCCCCCCUGUAAGCUGACAAGCACCCUAUAUCCUGCAUGGAGAAAUUUAAAACCCCAGCACUCCUUCUCAUCGAUGCAACUGUCCCCUAUCAGACUCUGCCCUGGCAAACUUCUGCCGGUAUCUCUCUCUUACCCCACUGUUUCACAGCUCUCCCUCUCAGUCUGCCCUGGCAAAACUUCUGCCAAUUCCAAACAGAACUCUUUCUCCCUCUGUGUUA